rnacentral:rRNA from 1 species
UACGGGGGGGGCUAGCGUUAUUCGGAAUCAUUGGGCGUAAAGGGCGCGUAGGCGGCGCGGUAAGUCAAAGGUGAAAUCCCUCGGCUCAACUGAGGAACUGCCUUUGAAACUGCCGUGCUUGAGUCCGGGAGGGGGUAGCGGAAUUCCCAGUGUAGCGGCGAAAUGCGUAGAUAUUGGGAGGAACACCAGUGGCGAAGGCGGCUACCUGGACCGGUACUGACGCUGAUGCGCGAAAGCGUGGGAGCAAACAGG